rnacentral:rRNA from 1 species
AACGAACGCUGGCGGCGUGCCUAACACAUGCAAGUCGCACGACGGGACUGUCAGGGGCAACUCUGAUGGUUUACGGAGUGGCGGACGGGUGAGUAACGCGUAGGUAACCUGCCCUGGAUUGGGGGAUAGCCCGGGGAAACCCGGAUUAAUACCGCAUAAGCUCACGGACUGGGAUGUCUGUGAGAAAAGGAGCGAUCCGAUUCAGGAUGGGCCUGCGUCCUAUCAGCUAGUUGGUGGGGUAAUGGCCUACCAAGGCAGAGACGGGUAGCCGGACUGAGAGGUUGAACGGCCACACUGGAACUGAGACACGGUCCAGACUCCUACGGGAGGCAGCAGUGGGGAAUUUUGCGCAAUGGGCGAAAGCCUGACGCAGCGACGCCGCGUGGAGGACGAAGGCCUUCGGGUUGUAAACUCCUUUAGUGCGGGAAGAAGCCGCAAGGUGACGGUACCGCAAGAAUAAGCCACGGCUAACUCCGUGCCAGCAGCCGCGGUAACAC